CCGCUCGCCAGGCCGCCCACGCAGCCGCGAGCCCGGCUCGUUGGGUCCGCCCCCGCGGAGCCCAUGGGAUGCGCCGCCCGCGGAAGGGCUUCCCCAGGCUCCCGGCGAGUCGGGAGGAGGAGGGGGCUGCAUCCUUUGCGCUCCCCUCCAGCUGUUGAUGCGCCAAUGUCCAGAGGGGGCCCCGUGGAAAUUCCUGGGGGGCUGGAGCGGGAAGCCCCCGCAGAAUUCACCCCGCCCUCCCCGACCUGCGGGGCCUGGCCGCCCUACACCCGGCCCCAGGGUCUGUCUCCUUUGUUUUCUCGAAAGGGAGAGUGGAUUCUGAGCUCCCUUCCUAAGGCUCUUACCAUUUGGAAGUCACUUUGCCCAUCUAAGGAGAAUUUGCAUUUUAACAAGGGGGAUAACCUUGAAGUACCCAAAGGAAUCUCUACGUGUAGAAUUGCUGGCAUAGGCGAGAUAUUCUGGAAGGCAGCGAGACCCCCGUGGAAUGCCUGAAGCCCCCAUAACUCGCGAUAAGGAAAGAAAACCAUUAAACUGAAGGAAGGGCAAAUGGGCCAUUGAGGAAGGUAGGAAGGAAAACCACAUCUUCUUGGGACUUGCAUCAAAUGCUACGAGAUCAUCCUGGAUCUUCUGCCUAAGGACCCGAAGUUCUGGUCAAAUCUACCCUGUGUCCUGACCCAACUUGUCUAACUCUGCAGUAGAUGCGAGGAGAAAAUGAGUCUACAUCAAGUCUUCACAAGUAGCCUUAGACUAAAGCACGCCAAGGCUGCUGAAGAUGAUUCUUGGCUCUCCACCCUUCCCACCCCCUCCCCCAACUCCCUUAGCAUCCCCAUCGUCAGGGGCAGGCGCUGACUAGGUUCUGAUUUCCCGUGAGGUGUUCUUCUAUCACCUGUCUAAUGAGAGAAAGGAAGCUGACUUGGUCACAGCCUUCCCAAUACAGAGGAGAGAAUAUUCCAAUCCUCUUUCAUCUCUUCUCCCCAUAUCUCUAGUUCAUGGACAUUGGGCAUAAAGAAAGAGCUUGAAGUCCUACAGUUUCUCAUCAGGGGCUAAUGAGCAUAUUUCUCUCUGGACCUAACAUGGGAUUCCAGUCAUCACCAAAUAACCAAGGGGAAGCAAGGUUUGCAGUCACCAGCCACAACAGAGAUUUAAACAGGAAUUCCACCCAAAUACCAUCUCCGCAAGCCAACUGUCUCUCUCAUCAUUAUCCCCUUUCCACGAUUGCUAACACCCAGCACAGAAAUCCUCCUUGAGUCAGAGGAAAAAGCUGUAACCAGACUGAAUCCGGACACUAUAAAGGGACCCUCUAUGGGCCUGGUGGGUUGUUACCUUGCACCCCUCUGGGUCUGUGGGCAUUCAGAAGAAAGGUGCCCACUCAGGUCAGAGCAGAGUAAGCGUGUCCAAAUGAGCCACUGCUGGCUUGGACUCCCACUGCAUCACUUAAACAGCCACCUCUGGGAAACGCUUUCUCCCACCCUUCCUCUUCCUCUGUCUCCAGCCCCCCGCCUUCUCACAUCAUCCUGCCUCUCAGCCUUGUGCUCUGCCUUCUGAAUCCCCUCAGACCCCAGGUCUGCUGUUCCUGGACCCUGCCCUUUUCAAAGCUCUCAACACGUCUCUUUGCCAAGCCUCUGUCUUUUUCAUAGCUCACUCUCCAUUCGAAUAAUUUUACUACCCAAACUCCCAUCCAGAUUUUUCCUAACUUGAAAAGAUUCUUCAACUGUUCUCUUUCCUUCAGUUUAAUCUGCCCCCCAGUCUUGUCCCCUUUAAAAUCUGCCAGUUUCCAAUAACCCUCAUUUCUUUCCUCCUUUGCCCCCAGUGAUGGUUGGGAUACUCCCGUUUGCUCCAACACCUCCCAAGCCCUCUCAGACACUGAUCUCAUUCCCUCCUUUCCCCCAAGCCUCCUUGACACACUUCUCCCCGCAAGCACACUGAAGGCCCUAGUCCUUCAGUCUCGGGUGCACCCCACUUCCCCCUUGUCCCCUCCUCACGCCCGUUUGCUUCCCUUCCUCCCGGCACGUUGGUCCCCGUGCCGCCUUCCCCACUCACUCGGUUCUCCUGCUCAGGACGCCCUUGCCGAGGGCGGCGGGGGAUUUGUGCUGAAGGAGGGUUCCAGCAGCGGCGCAACAGCUCGGGGGACGCUCCUUCUCCUUGUCGGCGACGGCCCCUGGCCCCGCCGGGUGGUGGUGGGGCGGCUGGGAUGCGUGAGCCCUGCCGCUGGGGCCCGGCUGGGGCUGCGCCAGGAGCUGUCCGUGGUGCUGAAGCGGGGGCUUCUCGGGCGCGGUGGGCGGGAGCUGUCCGUGGUCCCGGAGCUGUUCCUGGGCCCCGGAGGCGGCGGUGGCCGGGGUGGCCGGCAGCGGGGCUGGUGACGGGGGGACGAGCCCGGGCGGAGGCACGGCUUGCAGCAGCUGCUGGUGCUCCCACAGGCUGCGGUUCUCGGCGCUUAGCUCGUCCAGCCGCCGCUCCAGCUCGUCGAUGCGCUGGCGCUGCGUGUGGAUGAGGCUCUGCUGGUUCUGCACGAUGGCCGUGAGCUCCUUGAGGUAGAGCACGGCGCGCACCGGGUUCUCCAGCAAGCUCUCCAUGCCGCCCGCCGCCGCCUGCGCCCUGCCUGCGCCUGGGCGGGCGGCGGGGAGCGCGAGGGCGCGCAGGAGCCGAGCAGCCCCGGCGAUCCGCUCGCCUCGCUCUCCGCCGGCGCCGCGUCACCGCCACACAGACAUUCACACACGCACGAGGGGCGGGACCGCGGCGCCAGGGCCCACCCCUCCCCUCCACCUCCCACCUCUAAGCUUCGUGAGGAGUCUCGGCUUCCUGCAGGGCUGGCGGAGGAGCAGGAUAAACGAAGGGACCCGGGAUGGAUGAGCGGCAACUGGCGAGAAAGGGAAAGCCGGCCAGGCGGAAGCAGCGGCACCGGGAGAGUGCGGUGGGACCGGUAGGAGAGCAGAAGCAGAUGCGGAAAGAGGAGGAGGAGAGCGGCUGGGAGAACGAGGAAGCGCAGAAAGGAAAGGUGGUGAAAGGAGAGAGAAGUGGUCUGAAAGGUCACGGGUUCUUUUUCCUAUGUCCAGUCAUCCCAGAGGACGAGGGUCCACCUUAAAGACCUUGUGAGGAGAGGCCACACGCUCGGCGGUCUGUUCUGCUGGGGGCUUCCCUGGAUCGGGGGGAUCAGAGGACAGUAAGGGACCCCAGAGAACAUCCGGUCCUACCCCUCCAGCCAAGGAGAAAGUUCGGGUGGGAAGGCUGUUUCCGCUGGAUUUUGUCUGGGAAUGAGACCUCAGGACAGUUUGGGCCACUCUAAUGGGAACACAGACUAAAUAAACCGGGCCCUCUGUGUCACAGGGCUAAUGCUUCCAGAAACUUCUUAAGAGAGCGUUCUGUUUGAAAAAUAUUUAUGAAAUGCAUACUACACCGAACACUGUGCUAGGUGGUGGUAAGAUAAGGAUGACUAGGACGGACUCUUUGGCUUCUUGACGCUUCUGAUUAAGUAGGAGAAACAGGUAAUAAAUAUUUAAUUUCAAUAGAAGGUGGUUGUUGUAAGUGAUAAGAUAGAGAUUGCCCAGAGCGCUAUAGGAGCCCAGCAGCUUGGGGAUUUGGGAAGGCUCCUUGGAGGGAAUAACACUUGAAGUGGGAAGGAUUUUCUAGAAAGGGGGAAGAGCAUAAGCAAAAGCUCAGAGAUAGGAAUCCGCAUGGACUGAAUCAUUCAUUACUUUCUACAAUACACGUACAUAAAACACACACUAAGUGCCAAGUAACGUACUAGGAACUAUGUAGUUUAGCCCUAGCAUGGACCAUAAGUUAUAGUUUCUAUAAUCAAGAUUACAGCCUAGUAGAUACAGCACGCACAUGAAUAUCUAAAAUACCAAUCAAAAUUUCUGUAAGGGCUCUUCAAGCCAAGUGCCGCAGGAGUUGGGGGGAGUGGGAAGUUGUGUUUGACUAUGGUGAUCUGAUAAGGCGGAGGUGUUAUUCAAGCUGGGCCUUGAGGGAUGCGAAGUGUUUCAACAAGUAGAACAGAGGAAGACAGGGGAGAUAUGUCAGGCAGCAGGAAAAGACUAAGGAAUGGAAAUAGAGCACCUCCGUUCAAUCCAAUCUGGCAAAAAAAUGACCCUUUCCUCUGGGCUAUGAGUACCCUUAGCAUAUCUGUUGUACUGUUGUAUCUUGCACCGAGGUGGGCCACCAGCCUCCCUAUGGACCUGCUGUUCCCCCCCAGAGUAGGCAUAUCUGUUGGUACCACGUGUCCCGUGAGCUGGGCCAGCCAAGCCCGUCUGGUGCCAGACUUGAAUGACAUUAUAGGAAAGGAUCUGUG